GUUUCUCUUGAGUGACAGUUCAGUGACCUGGAAGUGAUGUAGCCUCCAAGACAUUUUUUUCCCACCUGGUCAACAACAUGAAUUUUGAGCCCCAUACAGGUUAUUUCUGCUGUCUGUGGUGUCUACUGAGGAUCUAAAGAACCUGUGGAACAUCAGAGACUUUGCAGCUACUGGAGCUAACCUGUGUACUGCUAACUUGCUACAGAGGAAGCAGCAGAAAGCUGAGCUAACAGGCUGUUUUGCAGGUAAUCCUCAGGUGUCAGCAGGAGGUGACUACCUGCACAACGGAGCACUCUGGUUCUGAGCCAGUUGCACCUUUGUGCAGCUCUUUGGGGAGACGAUGCUCAGCAGACACAUGCCUCCAUGUGGUCAGGUGGUGUUGGUGUGAUCUGGGAGGGCACACUCAUGUUGUCAUCUCCUUGUGCCGUCUCCAGGAUCCUGAUGGGAGUUCUCUGUGCCUAUAAAGCAGGAGUAUUUACUUCUGGGCCUGGAGGGCCGGUAUCCAGCACGUUUUAGUUUUAACUCUGUUUCAAUACACCUGAUUUCAGUCAGCAGAUAAUUAACAGGCUUCUGCAGAGCUGCUGCACAGGUAAUUCAACCACUGAUUCAAGUGUGUUGGAGCAGGGAAACAACUAAAACGUGCUGGAUACCAGCCAUCCAGGACUAGAAUUGAAUACCCCUGCUAUAAAGCCUUCCUCCCUCCUCCGGACUUUAAACAUUAGUGUUUUAUUACGGUUUACCUGAUUUAGUAAAUAAAUCUCAAUUUAUAAA